rnacentral:rRNA from 1 species
CCUACGGGAGGCAGCAGUGGGGAAUAUUCCACAAUGAGGGGAACCUUGAUGCAGCGACACCGCGUGCGCGAAGGAGGACUUCGGUAUGUAAAGCCCUAUCAGCAGGGAAGAACAUUGACGGUACGUGAUUAUUAAGCACCGGCUAAACACGUUCCAGCAGCCGCGGUAAUAUGUAUGGCGCAAGCGGUAUCCGGACAUACUUGGCAGAAAGGCAGCGGAGGCGGUGCGUUUAGCCCGGUGUGAAAGCCCGCGGCCCAACCGCGGGACUGCAUUGGGUAUUAGCCCGCUAGAGUUCCGGAGGGGUAGGCGGAAUUCCAAGUGUAGCGGUGAAAUGCGUAGAUAUUAGGAAGAACACCAGAGGCGAAGGCAGCCUACUGGGCGGUGACUGACGCUGAGGCUCGAAAGCGUGGGGAGCAAACAGGAUUAGAUACCCCAGUAGUC